CCUACGGGCGGCAGCAGUGAGGAAUAUUGGUCAAUGGGCGUAAGCCUGAACCAGCCAAGUCGCGUGAGGGAUGAAGGUUCUAUGGAUCGUAAACCUCUUUUAUAAGGGAAUAAAGUGUGGGACGUGUCCUGUUUUGUAUGUACCUUAUGAAUAAGGAUCGGCUAACGCCGUGCCAGCAGCGGCGGUAAUACGGAGGAUCCGAGCGUUAUCCGGGUUUAUUGGGUUUAACGGGUGCGUAGGCGGCCUUUUAAGUCAGCGGUGAAAGUCUGUGGCUCAACCAUAGAAUUGCCGUUGAAACUGGGAGGCUGGAGUAUGGUUGAGGCAGGCGGAAUGCGUGGUGUAGCGGUGAAAUGCUUAGAUAUCACGCAGAACCCCGAUGGCGAAGGCAGCCUGCCAGGCCAUGACUGACGCUGAGGCACGAAAGCGUGGGGAUCAAACAGGAUUAGAUACCCUUGUAGUC
rnacentral:rRNA from 1 species